rnacentral:rRNA from 1 species
AGUGAACGCUGGCGGUAGGCCUAACACAUGCAAGUCGAACGGCAGCACAGAGGAGCUUGCUCCUUGGGUGGCGAGUGGCGGACGGGUGCGGAAUACAUCGGAAUCUACUCUGUCGUGGGGGAUAACGUAGGGAAACUUACGCUAAUACCGCAUACGACCUACGGGUGAAAGCAGGGGACCUUCGGUCCUUGCGCGAUUGAAUGAGCCGAUGUCGGAGUAGCUAGUUGGCGGGGUAAAGGCCCACCAAGGCGACGAUCCGUAGCUGGUCUGAGAGGAUGAUCAGCCACACUGGAACUGAGACACGGUCCAGACUCCUACGGGAGGCAGCAGUGGGGAAUAUUGGACAAUGGGCGCAAGCCUGAUCCAGCCAUACCGCGUGGGUGAAGAAGGCCUUCGGGUUGUAAAGCCCUUUUGUUGGGAAAGAAAUCCAGCUGGCUAAUACCCGGUUGGGAUGACGGUACCCAAAGAAUAAGCACCGGCUAACUUCGUGCCAGCCGCCGCCGUAA